rnacentral:lncRNA from 13 species
GGACAUGGAUGAAUCUGGAGAACAUCAUCCUCAGCAAACUGACACAAGAACAGAAAAUGAAACACCGCAUAUUCUCACUCAUAGAUCAGCAGUUACAUUUGCUUGACACUCAAGAAAAAUUAUUCUGAGGUAUCAACUUCAUGGCUUUAGAGAGUGAAGUUUCAGGAAUAGAAUCUGGAAGCUGCCUUGUGAAAAAGCCUGGUCUAGCAUGGGCUCAUGGAUAUCAUUUUCUAUGUGGCAUUUCUUUCUAUACUGUCCCAAAUAACUUAUUCUUCACUGUGUUCAGCACAAUCAUUCAAAAUUUUGAACCUCUACAACCGAACAGCAUUGGCUCAAAGAUGUUAGAAGAGCAAUUACGUUCCUUUGAGCAGCUGAUGGAGGACAUCAUCAAAAUGGAAGUACCUCUUUGUGAGAAAACAGUCAGCUUACCUUUACAUUAAUAGAUAUUACCUUUGGGAUAUAUCUGUGAGAAAAGAAAAGCUAUUUCAGUAAGUGGUAUCUCUAUUGUACUUCUCCACCUAUGUCAAAAUACUCUUUCAUAUGGCUUCUUUAGUUACAUUACUUGUAAUAAAAGAUAUAAAAUUUCACA